rnacentral:tRNA from 1 species
GCCUGAGUGGCUCAGUCAGUUGAGUAUCUGACUUCGGCUCAGGUCAUGAUCUCACAGUUCAUGGGUUCAAGCCCUGCAUCAGGCU